AACAUGGUAGAACACUGACUCACCUCUCUGGAAUCAACAGCUGCAUAUAUAAUAUCCAUCCAGCCCUUAAAUGUUGCCUGCAACAAAAGCAGAAAAACAUGAAUAAUACAAAUGUAGACUUGCCAUCAACAGACACGUGGCAUGGAAAAGCAGGUGAGGUCCAGUGGGCUGAAUAUAUAAGAUGAUACCCCAACUUUCUAGGACAGGAUGCUCAAAUAAAAGAACAGUAGAAGAGAACUCAAGGAUGUGUGUCUUGGAUUUUUUUUCUUCUUCUUCAUUUGUACAAGAUACAAAGUUUAAAAACAAGAAAUUUCCACCUUAAAAGUUACCAGAGAAGCUGAAGCUGUGGCCCAACAGCUGAAAAGAGACUGGCUAAGGGUUCUUUUCUGAUGCCAUAUUUAUUUGCACUGCCUGUUCAAGACCUGGCAACUGUGGUUUAAACAGGGAACUGUUCAAAGUGUCAUGACCUACACCCAAGGCUCCACUCCUCUCUGCCUGGAGAUGUGGAGAGCCAGCAAAGGUGCCAUACAGGACAAGGUGAGAUGUACAGAUCCUUAAAGGGGCAUCACUAGGAAGCUGAGGCUCAGCAGUCAAUGAAGUUGCAGAUGCUCAGUAGAGGACAAUUCCAGUAGACAUUGGCUUUCAUAUGAGGAAUCAGGAUUUGCUUCUAUUAUCACAAUGGAGUCACUGAAUUUUUUAGCUGAGAAACAAUUCAUGAUUAUUUGAAGUAUUUUCUCCUCAGAGUGCAAAACAUACUGAUUGUACUCACCACUUGCAGCAGAGCGAGAAAAGAAGUGUACUCCCAGAAUACAAAAUAUGAGCCAGAAAAUGAGGCAGACAAGCAAAACAUUCAGAAUGGCAGAAUGUACCUUCAUUCCUUCAAACUGGGACAGCGCACGAAGAGGCCUCAGUGCUCGCAGAGUUCGGAAGGACUUCAAUUCCUUUAAGUUAAUGAGGGUGGUCACAGAGACCUGAUGGGAAGAGAAGCCACAGGUAAUGCACCUGACUUGGUGUCCAGCUCAAAAGUCCAUUUUUCUCCUUAUCUACCAAAGCUACAGUCCAUAAAGGUGGGGACAAUGCACUCACAUUAUUUGUUUAGUGAAAGACAAAGAAAAUCUCAGAAAGUGUUGUGAAUUAAAGGAAACCAAAGAGAUAUAACAAUCAUA